rnacentral:rRNA from 1 species
AUUAACGCUGGCAGAGUGCAUAACACAUGCAAGUCGAGCGAGACUAGUAGCAAUAUUAGUCUAGCGGCAGACGAGUGAGUAACACGUAAACAAUCUACCCUUGAAUGGCGAAUAACCAAUCGAAAGGCUGGCUAAUACGCCGUACUCUCCCUUGAAGGCAUCUUCGAGGGAGGAGAGAUCCGCAAGGAUCGUUCUUGGAGGAGUUUGCGGCCCAUCAGCUAGUUGGCGGUGUAAUAGACCACCAAGGCUACGACGGGUACCCGGCCUGAAAGGGCGGACGGGCACGAUGGCACUGAGACACGGGCCAUACUCCUACGGGAGGCAGCAGUGGGGAAUUUUGGACAAUGGGCGAAAGCCUGAUCCAGCAACUCUGCGUGAGGGACGAAGGUCUUCGGAUCGUAAACCUCUUUUACAUGGGAAGAAUGGCAGCAAUGCCUCGACGGUACCAUGUGAAUAAGCCACGGCUAACUAUGU